rnacentral:rRNA from 1 species
GCGGCAGGCUUAACACAUGACAAGUACGAGGGUAUAGUUCUUCGGAAUUAGAGACCGGCGCACGGGUGCGUAACGCGUAUGCAAUCUACCUUCACAAAGGGAUAGCCCAGAGAAAUUUGGAUUAAUACCUUAUAGUAAUACGACUUGGCAUCAAGAUGUAUUUAAAGAUUUAUCGGUGAAAGAUGAGCAUGCGUCCCAUUAGCUUGUUGGUAAGGUAACGGCUUACCAAGGCAACGAUGGGUAGGGGUCCUGAGAGGGAGAUCCCCCACACUGGUACUGAGACACGGACCAGACUCCUACGGGAGGCAGCAGUGAGGAAUAUUGGACAAUGGGCGCAAGCCUGAUCCAGCCAUGCCGCGUGCAGGAUGACGGUCCUAUGGAUUGUAAACUGCUUUUGUACAGGAAGAAACCCUUUCACGUGUGGAAGAUUGACGGUACUGUAAGAAUAAGGAUCGGCUAACUCCGUG